rnacentral:misc_RNA from 1 species
UGUGGGAGCGGGCUUGCCCGCGAUGCGGGCACCUCGGUGUAUCAGUUACACCGCAGUGAUGCUAUCGCGAGCAAGCUCGCUCCCACA